GACAGAGGGGGCAAGCGUUGCUCGGAAUUACUGGGCGGAAAGGGCGCGUAGGCGGCGCGGUAAGUCACUUGUGAAAUCUCUGAGCUUAACUCAGAACGGCCAAGUGAUACUGCAGUGCUAGAGUGUGGAAGGGGCAAUCGGAAUUCUUGGUGUAGCGGUGAAAUUCGUAGAUAUUGGGAAGAACACCGAUGGCGAAGGCAGCCAUCUGGACCGACACUGACGCUGAGGCGCGAAAGCGUGGGGAGCAAACAGG
rnacentral:rRNA from 1 species